rnacentral:rRNA from 1 species
UACGGAGGGUGCAAGCGUUAUCCGGAUUUACUGGGUUUAAAGGGUGCGCAGGCGGAUAUGUAAGUCAGUGGUGAAAUCUCUAGGCUUAACCUGGGAAUUGCCGUUGAUACUAUAUAUCUUGAAUGCUGUGGAGGUAAGCGGAAUAUGUCAUGUAGCGGUGAAAUGCUUAGAUAUGACAUAGAACACCUAUUGCGAAGGCAGCUUACUACGCAGAUAUUGACGUUCAUGCACGAAAGCGUGGGGAUCAAACAGG